rnacentral:lncRNA from 1 species
CCCCGCCUGGCGUGCGCGUGUCGGGUGUGUGUACAGCCUUCAGACUUGCCCAAUCCGGAGCCAGGAUCGCGAGUAGGAGGGCGGGUCCUCGCGGAGAGGGGCGGGGUCCGGAGUGACAAGACUCUCGCCUGGUCCGGUUCUUUGGUCUCUGGUGCUAGCACCGGUGACAAUUGGAGGUCCCACCGAGAUCCUGGAAAGCAGAGGCAUCCUGAUGGACUGCUCUUAACAAUUGUGGCCACAAGACAAGAAGGAGCACAUUUGGGUUGACAGUGCCGAAUCAAAAAUAUGUGAGAAUCUGAAUUUAUGACCUUAACAGGAAAGAACCAUUAAGGUUGAAGAAUUCCACCCUAACAAAUGGUUCCCAGAGAUAGAGAUGUAACUGCCCUGAAGAACCCAUGAGCCCAGAGAUUGCACUUGGAGAUUGUGGUCGGCCACCUGGAAUGAACCAAUCAGAACUGUUACCCUCACCCAUCCCAGACCCCAUCUGUUUGCAGUUUUUGCCUUUAAGAAGCCCCUAGACCCCAGCUUGGGGUCCAACUCCUCUGCUCUUGCCUGGUGAUUGGGGUUGCCACAUUCCCAAGUGUUCACCCCAGGGUCUCACCCCAUAGGGGUCUUUCACUCUAUCCCUGGUUUGGAUUCCUGAGUGCUGUGUGCACCCUGUUGCUGUUGACGAAGGUCCAGCCUCAAGAAAUCUUCUGGGCGUUGGUAAAGGCACUGCUAAUAGUGAUGCCUGUGGGUCUGCAUGCCCCAGUUUGGCUGAUGAUGAUAACAAACUGGACCGCCAGAGGGAGGGUCUCUGUUCUUCCAGAUCCUGCAAAUUGACAAAUGGCUGGGGAGCUAAAGACUCCAUGGUGUUGGUGCGAGUUCCAGGAGUGAUUCCAUUGUCAGUGAAUGUGAGCACGAGGUUUCCCCUAACCUAUCGAGAAAAAGAGAUUUCAAGAUUGCCCUUGCCAUUGCUGAGGCCACAAGUGCUGCUGCAGUUGCUGGUGUAGCCCUGAGGCAGACAACUGCUGUUGCUGCCACGUUGGAUCAGCUUUCUGGAGAGGUUGCAUCAACUCUGUCACUUCAAAAUGCUACUGAUGGACAAAUACAACUUGGACUUUUAUAACUAACUUUAUUACAAGAACAACUGGAUUGCGCUUGUGGAUGUGGAUUACUCCUGUGGAUGUUGUGCCGUUUAUGUUGCUCCUCGUGAAGUGGCAAAAUUAUCUUGUGAGGUGGGACAACUGAAAGCCUGUCGUGGAGGGACUUUUGUAAACUUCAUGCAUGUCAUCUAUAAAACAAAACAGGGGGAGAUGUUGGGACCCAGCCCCCACGGGGUCUCUGUGAGUUGUUUUCCAGCAUAACCAUAGGUACCUCCUGU